rnacentral:rRNA from 1 species
CGGACGGGUGAGUAAUGCCUAGGAAAUUGCCCUGAUGUGGGGGAUAACCAUUGGAAACGAUGGCUAAUACCGCAUGAUGCCUACGGGCCAAAGAGGGGGACCUUCGGGCCUCUCGCGUCAGGAUAUGCCUAGGUGGGAUUAGCUAGUUGGUGAGGUAAGGGCUCACCAAGGCGACGAUCCCUAGCUGGUCUGAGAGGAUGAUCAGCCACACUGGAACUGAGACACGGUCCAGACUCCUACGGGAGGCAGCAGUGGGGAAUAUUGCACAAUGGGCGCAAGCCUGAUGCAGCCAUGCCGCGUGUGUGAAGAAGGCCUUCGGGUUGUAAAGCACUUUCAGUCGUGAGGAAGGUAGUGUAGUUAAUAGCUGCAUUAUUUGACGUUAGCGACAGAAGAAGCACCGGCUAACUCCGUGCCAGCAGCCGCGGUAAUACGGAGGGUGCGAGCGUUAAUCGGAAUUACUGGGCGUAAAGCGCAUGCAGGUGGUUUGUUAAGUCAGAUGUGAAAGCCCGGGGCUCAACCUCGGAAUUGCAUUUGAAACUGGCAGACUAGAGUACUGUAGAGGGGGGUAGAAUUUCAGGUGUAGCGGUGAAAUGCGUAGAGAUCUGAAGGAAUACCGGUGGCGAAGGCGGCCCCCUGGACAGAUACUGACACUCAGAUGCGAAAGCGUGGGGAGCAAACAGGAUUAGAUACCCUGGUAGUCCACGCCGUAAACGAUGUCUACUUGGAGGUUGUGGCCUUGAGCCGUGGCUUUCGGAGCUAACGCGUUAAGUAGACCGCCUGGGGAGUACGGUCGCAAGAUUAAAACUCAAAUGAAUUGACGGGGGCCCGCACAAGCGGUGGAGCAUGUGGUUUAAUUCGAUGCAACGCGAAGAACCUUACCUACUCUUGACAUCCAGAGAACUUUCCAGAGAUGGAUUGGUGCCUUCGGGAACUCUGAGACAGGUGCUGCAUGGCUGUCGUCAGCUCGUGUUGUGAAAUGUUGGGUUAAGUCCCGCAACGAGCGCAACCCUUAUCCUUGUUUGCCAGCGAGUAAUGUCGGGAACUCCAGGGAGACUGCCGGUGAUAAACCGGAGGAAGGUGGGGACGACGUCAAGUCAUCAUGGCCCUUACGAGUAGGGCUACACACGUGCUACAAUGGCGCAUACAGAGGGCAGCCAACUUGCGAAAGUGAGCGAAUCCCAAAAAGUGCGUCGUAGUCCGGAUUGGAGUCUGCAACUCGACUCCAUGAAGU